AAGGCCCUUCGGGGUACUCGAGCGGCGAACGGGUGAGUAACACGUGAGUAAUCUGCCCCUCACUCAGGGAUAACCGCGGGAAGCUGCGGCUAAUACUUGAUAUGACCACGUCUCGCAUGGGGUGUGGUGGAAAGCGUUUAGUGGUGAGGGAUGUGCUCGCGGCCUAUCAGCUUGUUGGUGAGGUAGUGGCUCACCAAGGCUUCGACGGGUAGCCGGCCUGAGAGGGUGACCGGCCACACUGGGACUGAGACACGGCCCAGACUCCUACGGGAGGCAGCAGUGGGGAAUAUUGGACAAUGGGCGAAAGCCUGAUCCAGCAACGCCGCGUGAGGGAUGACGGCCUUCGGGUUGUAAACCUCUUUCACCUCUGACGAAGCGCAAGUGACGGUAAGGGGAGAAGAAGGACCGGCCAACUACGUGCCAGCAGCCGCGGUAAUACGUAGGGUCCGAGCGUUGUCCGGAAUUAUUGGGCGUAAAGGGCUCGUAGGCGGUUUGUCGCGUCGGGAGUGAAAACCAGGUGCUUAACACCUGGCUUGCUUCCGAUACGGGCAGACUAGAGGUAUGCAGGGGAGAAUGGAAUUCCUGGUGUAGCGGUGAAAUGCGCAGAUAUCAGGAGGAACACCGGUGGCGAAGGCGGUUCUCUGGGCAUUACCUGACGCUGAGGAGCGAAAGUGUGGGGAGCGAACAGGAUUAGAUACCCUGGUAGUCCACACCGUAAACGUUGGGCGCUAGGUGUGGGAUCCAUUCCACGGGUUCCGUGCCGCAG
rnacentral:rRNA from 1 species